UACGUAGGGCGCAAGCGUUAUCCGGAAUUAUUGGGCGUAAAGAGCUCGUAGGCGGUUUGUCGCGUCUGCCGUGAAAGUCCGGGGCUCAACUCCGGAUCUGCGGUGGGUACGGGCAGACUAGAGUGAUGUAGGGGGAGACUGGAAUUCCUGGUGUAGCGGUGAAAUGCGCAGAUAUCGGGAGGAACACCGGUGGCGAAGGCGGUUCUCUGGGCCUGUACUGACGCUGAGGAGCGAAAGCGUGGGGAGCGAACAGG
rnacentral:rRNA from 1 species